AUGAACGCUAGCGGCAGGCUUAACACAUGCAAGUCGAGGGGUAGAAGCAGCUUGCUGCUUUGAGACCGGCGCACGGGUGCGUAACGCGUAUACAAUCUACCUUUUACAGAGGGAUAGCCCAGAGAAAUUUGGAUUAAUACCUCAUAGUAUUUUCGAAUCGCAUGAUUUGAUUAUUAAAGUUCCAACGGUAAAAGAUGGGUGUGCGGCUGAUUAGAUAGUUGGCGGGGUAACGGCCCACCAAGUCUACGAUCAGUAGCUGAUGUGAGAGCAUGAUCCGCCACACUGGGACUGAGACACGGCCCAGACUCCUACGGGAGGCAGCAGUGGGGAAUUUUGGACAAUGGGCGCAAGCCUGAUCCAGCCAUGCCGCGUGAGUGAAGAAGGCCUUCGGGUUGUAAAGCUCUUUCAGGUGGAAAGAAAACGCAUGGGUCAAUACCCUGUGUGGAUGACGGUACCAUCAGAAGAAGCACCGGCUAACUACGUG
rnacentral:rRNA from 1 species